rnacentral:lncRNA from 1 species
CUUUGUUAGGUUUUGGUCUAGUAAUUGUGAGUUGAAAUCACUGCCCCAGCCUAGGUAUCAUGUAAGAUUUUUUGUAGCUUAAAAGCUAAGAGUAUAUACCUCACUGCAUGCAAUAUUUUUUUCUCCUGGUAGGAAGAAAGUUUAUAUUGUGUGUUUGGAUUGCAUAUAGUAUAUAUUGCAAGGAGCAAAAUGGUCACAACAGCUCCCAUAACCUGGUGAUAGCUCCAUUUUAUAAGGAAUGGAUGCAACGUGAAGCUGAAAAUCUGUUUCUCUUCAGAGAUUGUGCUCCAAAAGCUCCCUGAAUCAAGCAGAAAAUGUGAGAAACUGGAGAAGAGACAGACCAGAUAUUACAUAGCUGUUUGGGAGGUUUGUGAAGAUGCUGAGCAUACUGGGUAAAAGUAUUGUAUUAUGGAAAGCAUUGGACAAAACUCAAUUAAAAAGGUCACGUGUGCAUUUUCAAGCUCUUUCUCCUGUUCAAACAACAGCUAUGCAAAUAGAACAGGCACAUGAAUUUAAAAUCUGCCUAUGCCGCCUAUUUUCUUUGCUCCUAUCCUUUUAAGUGCCUAUAAAUAAUAAUACAAACUAAGGCAUUAUGGUCCGAUGCUGUAUCUGGAGCACGCUUCAAAUAAUGAAGUUUUUGGAGAAGCUCCUACUGUUAUUAGAGAUAGCUUUGGAGUUUGGUCAGUAUUCAUUCUGGUAGAUUGCAUGUGAGCCACAAUCAUAGUCAAUGAUGGACUUUUUACAGUUCUAUAGUUAAAAGGCUAUCUUUUCAUGUUGACUAUUUUUAAAUUCAUGAUCAGGUUAGAGGUCCUAGUCUUAGUUCAGAAAAUGACAUUCUUUACAGAACUGGGCAAAUAAUUUUAAUAUAAAUUAGGUAAGGCAAGCUUAUUAAUCAUUUAAGACUGUCAGAAUUUGAACUUAUUUUGGAAUAUAUUGAGUUUAACUUUAGGAAAACAGCUUUAUUAUGUUGUAGGUUGACUAAGCCUAAAACACUAUCUUGAGUUAACAACCCAGAGAGUAAUGCAUAUAGGGCUUGCAAAGGCUCAUAAACUCCUCAGCUAAUUUAGCAGGAGGCUCUAUCUUCCAACCUUAUUAACAAUAAAAUAUUUUAAAUAAACUCCA